AUACACAUCAACAUUUCUUCCCCGCUUGAGUUCACGCUAGCAAUCUCUUCCUCUUGCGGGUGAUUUUAGAGGGUUCUCGAAACGUCCUUCCCCUCAGGGUUAGACAUGACCCCAACAUUCCCUCUGUCAAAACUUGGCCCCGAAGGAGCUCUCAUAGGGCUUUCCUACAUGUACUUGCCCGACUGACAAAGACUCAUUGACAGACUUACGGGCUAUUGAGGUCGCCUUGGUCCACCCAUCUCAUCAUAUAAUCAACAAUUUAUGCAAUGCGUCGCAUUCGUGAAACUAGU
rnacentral:lncRNA from 1 species